CAGUCGCGUCUGCUGGGACUCAGCCUUGCUUCUGCUUGGUGCACUUCCCAGUAGAUGGGCCAGCAUCAAUUUUGGGCGCCGGGAAAGGAUGAGAGGAAUGUGGCAGCUUGCUGUGUUAUAGCCUUCGGCAGAUGUGAUGAUCGAGAUUGAGGAUUGC
rnacentral:rRNA from 1 species